UUUUGACCUCGGAUCAGGUAGGGAUACCCGCUGAACUUAAGCAUAUCAAUAAGCGGAGGAAAAGAAACCAACAGGGAUUGCCCUAGUAACGGCGAGUGAAGCGGCAACAGCUCAAAUUUGAAAUCUGGCUCUUUUAGAGUCCGAGUUGUAAUUUGCAGAGGGCGCUUUGGCUUUGGCAGCGGUCCAAGUUCCUUGGAACAGGACGUCACAGAGGGUGAGAAUCCCGUACGUGGUCGCUGGCUAUUGCCGUGUAAAGCCCCUUCGACGAGUCGAGUUGUUUGGGAAUGCAGCUCUAAAUGGGAGGUACAUUUCUUCUAAAGCUAAAUAUUGGCCAGAGACCGAUAGCGCACAAGUAGAGUGAUCGAAAGAUGAAAAGCACUUUGGAAAGAGAGUCAAACAGCACGUGAAAUUGUUGAAAGGGAAGCGCUUGCAGCCAGACUUGCUUGCAGUUGCUCAUCCGGGCUUUUGCCCGGUGCACUCUUCUGUAGGCAGGCCAGCAUCAGUUUGGGCGGUAGGAUAAAGGUCUCUGUCACGUACCUCUCUUCGGGGAGGCCUUAUAGGGGAGACGACAUACUACCAGCCUGGACUGAGGUCCGCGCAUCUGCUAGGAUGCUGGCGUAAUGGCUGUAA
rnacentral:rRNA from 2 species